rnacentral:rRNA from 1 species
AUUGAACGCUGGCGGCAGGCCUAACACAUGCAAGUCGAACGAGUGGCGGACGGGUGAGUAAUGUCUGGGAAACUGCCCGAUGGAGGGGGGUAACUACUGGAAACGGUAGCUAAUACCGCAUACCAUCGGAUGUGCCCAGAUGGGAUUAGCUUGUUGGUGGGGUAACGGCUCACCUAGGCGACGAUCCCUAGCUGGUCUGAGAGGAUGACCAGCACAACGGGAACUGAGACACGGUCCAGACUCCUAAGGGAGCCAGCAGUGGGGAAUAUUGCAGAAGGGGCGCAAGCCGGAUGCAGCCUGGCCGCGUGUAUGAAGAGGGCCUUCGGGUUGUAAAGUACUUUCAGCGGGGAGGCGGUACCCGCAGAAGAAGCACCGGCUAACUCCGUGCCAGCAGCCGCGGUAAUAC